AUUUCCGGGUUUCCGUUGUUUACGUUCCACGUCAUAACCUAACGUGUGCCUGGAGAUCUGCCUGGGAUUUGUUUUUUUUUAUUAGCAUGAUUAUGCGUUUACAGGAUGCACUAUUCUAUGAACAUACAUUUAAACCAGGUCAUAAUAUGUAUUAUUUAUCUAGAUUAUGCUUUUUAGGAUUGUUGGAAAUGUAUUAAACAGCUGUAAAGACGUCUUGCAGGGUUGCUUCACCUCUACUGGGAGACAGUAUUUCGAGUUUCCUUCCUACAAUAAGGUCAUAAACCUCUGUGAGGAUCCUGAGGCAUCUAGAGAUCUACCAGCUCCAGUUGGACUCUGCGAUACUAAAGAGGAGAUAACAACUCCAUGUGGUCUUUUGCAUCAAUACAACAUUUGUCAGACUGUAUAUUUAUAAUCACACUCUCCGGUGUCACCCAUAUGAGGAUGAGGUUCCCCUUUGAGUCUGUUUCCUCUCAAGGUUUCUUCCUUCACCAUCCAAGGGUGUUUUUACUCCCCACAAUCACCUGAGUCACCUCAGACUUGCUCAUUGGGGAUAAAUACAAAUACAAACACAAUAAAUAUAUCUAAUAUUAAUCUUGAAUUUUUCUAUUAUGUCAAUCUUUAAAUUAUUCUUUACAAUACAUUUUUGUUUUAUGUUUAUGUUCUGUAAAAAUGCUUUGAGACUGUCAAUUGUAAAAAGCGCAAAUUAAAUUGAAUUGAAUUAAAUUGAAUUGAAUAAACCUGA